rnacentral:rRNA from 1 species
UACAGGGGGUGCAAACGUUGCUCGGAAUUAUUGGGCGUAAAGCGCACGUAGGCGGCUUGGCAAGUCGGAUGUGAAAUCCCUCGGCUCAACCAAGGAAGUGCAUCCGAAACUGCCGAGCUUGAGUACUUAAGAGGAUCGCGGAAUUCCCGGUGUAGAGGUGAAAUUCGUAGAUAUCGGGAGGAACACCAGUGGCGAAGGCGGCGAUCUGGGAAGAUACUGACGCUGAGGUGCGAAAGCGUGGGGAGCAAACAGG